CCCUUAGAUGUCCUGGGCCGCACGCGCGCUACACUGUUCGACGCAGCGAGUCUUAACCUUGACCGAAAGGUUUGGGUAAUCUUCAGCAAAGUCGAACGUGAUGGGGAUCGAUCAUUGCAAUUAUUGAUCGUGAACGAGGAAUUCCUAGUAAGUGCAAGUCAUCAGCUUGCGCUGAUUACGUCCCUGCCCUUUGUACACACCGCCCGUCGCUACUACCGAUUGAAUGGUUUAGUGAGAUCUCUGGAUUGACGCUGGCUAGGGGGCGACCCUUGGCCAGACUGUUGAGAAACUGCUCAAACUUGAUCAUUUAGAGGAAGUAAAAGUCGUAACA
rnacentral:rRNA from 1 species